rnacentral:rRNA from 1 species
UCCAGACUCCUACGGGAGGCAGCAUUAGGGAAUUUUGCGCAAUGGGCGAAAUCCUGACGCAGCAACACCUCUUGAAUGUUAAGCCCUUCGGGGUUUCAAGUUCUGUCAAUCUUUACGAAUUUUGACUUUACCUAUCCCUUAAGCACCGGCUCACUCCGUGCCAUCAUCCUCGGUAAUCCUGUUUGUGCAAGCUUUUUCCGGAAUCAUUGUGCGUAAAGCGUUCGUAGGCGGUGUGUCAAGUCUGAUGUUAAAGCCCGGGGUGAAACUCCGGUUCGGCAUUUGAUACUACUUGACUAGAAUGCGGUAGAGGUAAAGGGAAUUCCUGGUGUAGCGGUGAAAUGCGUAGAGAUAAGGAGGAACAUCGGUGGCGAAAGCGAUUUACUGGGCCGUUAUUGACGCUGAGGAACGAAAGCCAGGGUAGCAAACGGGAUUAGAUACCCGCGUAG